AGAACCAGAACUCACACCCAGACCCGAGGAGUCGGAGGCCCGGGCUCUGCCACUACACACUGUGGUCCCCGGGGCCUAGGCUGGGCUGGGCACCAGGGGCUGCAGGAUUUUCUCUGGGGAUGUUCUCACACUGGCCUUGGCCCCUAGAGGAGGGAGGAGAGAAUGGAUCCCUCUCAUACAUCAAUUCAAGGACAACCGAUUUUUCUCUAAGAGGAAGACACCCACACGAAAACCGGAAGGCAGCCUUGAGUGUCGUGUGAUAAGUUUAUCGGCGCCAUCUCGCCAGCCACCCCCUCCCCAGGGUCUCGAUCAAUGGGACACAGUGCGCCUCCAGUCUGAGAGGCUUCCUUGGGUGGGUGGUGGGACUGCAAGGUGGCCCUUUGGCAGAGUCUACAAGAGCUAAAUUAGGUCGCCAAGUGGCCCAUUACCCACAUAAUCUAGCCCUACCUUCCAGAACAACUGAGAAAUGCCUCAGUGGGCAGAGCCUCAAGUCCACCAGAUAACAGGCCCCAACUUGACCUCUUGUCAUCAGAAAUCACUGCCAAGUUUCCAAGCCAGGGAAAGAGCAACAGUCGUGAGGCCUGUUCCACGCACCCACCUAUGAUCCUCUCGCUGGAGGCAGAGAUCACCAGCCUAGAACAGAGCUGAAGAAAGACAGAUACUCUGUGUUGGAAAUUGCAAAAGCUCUCUGCAAGAACAACUCCAUCCGAACCCUGCCCUACGACACUCAACCAAGCUCUAGCAAAGCUUCUGGCAGCCUCAGGCCACACCCCUGGGACAACCCACCGCCGCUUUGCACUCCUGUGUGGAAAAGCUCAGGGCUGCCAAAAGAAUUCACCAUUUGUUCCAGCCAACACGUAAUAUCCUCUCCCUGGCAGAUCGAUGAUCAAUUACAGUGGGACCUUCAAUCCAGAUGGGGCUGGAGGAUCCUUUCUCAUGGUGAUUGCUACACUGAUCACAGAGGCCACCAGACCAAGAGGACACAGAGCUGCCCAUCCAGACAAGAUAAAACAGAAGCUGCCACUGCUCCCACGAGAGCCGCCUCCCACCGGAGCCUCUCCCCUUCCUCAGUGCACUCUUCACUGAGGAUUUAUUUGCUGGUGCUGUGGGGAGCCCAGGUCAGAUGCCCUGGCAGGACAGACUAAAUUCCUUCUAAAUUGAGGAAAGUGCCUCCUGUUGUGGAAGAAAAGGAAUAAGACCUUGGCUGGGCCCAGUGGCUCACGUCUGUAAUCCCAGCACUUUGGGAGGCUGA
rnacentral:lncRNA from 1 species